rnacentral:lncRNA from 1 species
CUGAAAUAACAUCAACUUUGUCUCCUUUUCUAGAUUUAAUAAAAUAUUAUCGAACAUGUCAUUUACUGAAAAAAAAAUAGUGACGUUUAAAACAUAAUGAUCCUUCUAUGUAAAUAUUCAGUAUAAACCUUCUAUUUGCAAGUAAAAUAGGCCAGUCUCCUGAUCUUUAUUUACAUCAAAUUCAAUUCAUAAAGAUUAACUGCAACACCCUGCCAAUUACAGCAAACCAGGUACAAACCAUCACCCUAACAAAUUCAAGUGCACUCACUCCUAACUACUGUCUAGCUAACAUCUUUUUUUUUUUUUUUUAAGAGAUGGGGUCUUGCUUUAUUACCCAGGCUGAUCUCGAACUCCUGGCUUCAAGUGAUCCUCUUGCCUCAGCCUCCCAAAAUGCUAGGAUUACAGGCAGAAGCCACUGUG